CGUGGGUGCGGGAGGAGCCUAGGCUUCUUCAGUCCCCGGCCCGCCCUGCAGCUAGGAAGCCCGUAGGUGGCCGUGGCGCCCGAGCCCCUAAGGCGCCCUCGCUUCCUGGUAUGCCCCCUUCCCACGCUCUCUCCGAGCACACCCCACCUUCCUGCUAUCUGUGCCUCCCCAGCCUCAGCCAAAAGGCUGAAGGACUGUGCCGCGCUUCGCUUCCCACACCUGUGUGCUGGCUGUCCGAGCGCUUUCCAGAAACUCUCCUCUGUGAUGCAAACCCCACAUUUUACAGGUGAAGGAGCCAAGACCCGGAGAGCUUCAGGAUCUGACCCUUGCCAAGCAGUGGUACAAAAAUACGAAUGAACAAGGGGGAAUGUGGCCCUAAAUGUUGUCAGCGACUGCAGACCCAGAAGAUGAUUGGCAACCCAACUUCAAGUCUUAGGUGACAAGUCUUAGAUCAGCAAAGUACUUAAAGGGUCCCUCUCCUUGACUGACUGACUUUAACUGUCUUCUCAGCCUCACAGUUGGGCUGCUCCAUCCUUUCCUCUUCUGCUCCGUCUUCCUCGACUUAGACGAUGGGGCACCUCUGGAUAUGUAAAUCCAAACCAGUGACAAUCCAGGUUCUAAUUCUGAUGGUUUAAUCCAACUGGAAGAGAAUCUUUGGCCUGUCAAUAACAAAAUGGUUUAUAAAGACGAAAAAAUAAAUACCAUAUACAAGUAAGUAUAACUAGCAUUCAAGUCUGUUGCACCUGUGUGUUUUAGUGAAAAGGAAGCAUGAAACCUGUAUGUUAUCUAGUGUGAGUAUUCACACAUCUAGGAAAUGGGAAAAGAUGGCAGGAUGGCAACAUCACCUAUUGCACAUUUAAGAAUAGCACUUUAAAUCGAAAUACAACUCCCCCGACGGCAUAGUCUUGUGAUGAGGGACAGUUAACUUGCGAGUUCUCGAGUCCUACGGGAACAACGUGUGCAGAGGCAGCGCCAGGUUAGGACGGCCACUCUGUUAGCACAGAGACCGGGAGCCCUCUUCAGCUAGGCUAAGCGGGAAGAUGUCACGUGAGCGCCACCCGGCGGUCCCUUUCCCGGCACGUGUAAGUCAGCCACACCAAAACAACAAAGGCAACCCGGAAAGUUAAAUUAAGGCAGUGAAAGAAAAAUCCAUUCCAACAGUCUUAAAUUUGGCUGUGCAAAACCGGAGCCUCAGGCUACAUGACCACGUCCACAGUUGAAACUGCUCAGUUCGUACUGUGUGUAGUCUGUCUGAAGUUAAUAUUCCAGGGAUGGAGCAGCCUUUUAAGUCCGUUUUGAUUUGAGUUGGGAGGGGGAGGAUGCAGUUUGGGAACUGUGAAGCUUUUUCUGGCCCCCUUUAAGAGUAGCUUUCAUUUUCAUUCCACCUUG